GAUGAAAACGUAGCGAAAUGCGAUACUUGGUGUGAAUUGCAGAAUCCCGUGAACCAUCGAGUCUUUGAACGCAAGUUGCGCCCGAAGCCAUUAGGCCGAGGGCACGCCUGCCUGGGCGUCACACGUCGUUGCCCCCCCAUCUACUCCUUCGGGAUUGCGGGGGGCGGAUGAUGGCCUCCCGUGCGCCUCGUCGCGCGGUUGGCAUAAAUGCCAAGUCCUCGGCGACGCACGCCACGACAAUCGGUGGUUGCGAAACCUCGGUUGCCCGUCGUGUGCGGUCGUCGCGCAUCGAGGGCUCGAAAAAAUUGCCGGGCUCCGGCUCGGCUUUCAACGCGACCCCAGGUCAGGCGGGGUUACCCGCUGAAUUUAAGCAUAUCAAUAAGCGGAGGA
rnacentral:misc_RNA from 1 species